GGGCCCGCACAAGCGGAGGAGCAUGUGGCUUAAUUCGAUGCAACGCGAAGAACCUUACCCAGACUCGACUUGUAACUGCACGACCUAUGAAAGUAGGUUUCCUUCGAGGGUGUUACACAGGUGCUGCAUGGCUGUCGUCAGUUCGUGCCGUGAGGUGUUCGGUUAAGUCCGUCAACGAACGCAACCCCUGCCACUAUUUGCCAACGGGUAAUGCCGGGAUCUAUAGUGGGACCGCCCCUUCAAACGGGAGGAAGGUGGGGAUGAUGUCAAGUCAGUAUGGCCCUUACGUCUGGGGCCGGCACACGUGCUACAAUGGCAAGUACAGAAGGUCGCAAUACCGCGAGGUGGAGCUAAUCCCCAAAACUUGCCCCAGUUCAGAUUGGAGUCUGCAACUCGACUCCAUGAAGUUGGAUUCGCUAGUAACGGCGCAUCAGCAUUCGGCG
rnacentral:rRNA from 1 species